rnacentral:rRNA from 1 species
GACGAACGCUGGCGGCGUGCUUAACACAUGCAAGUCGAACGGAAAGGCCCUGCUUUUGUGGGGUGCUCGAGUGGCGAACGGGUGAGUAACACGUGAGUAACCUGCCCUUGACGUUGGGAUAACUUCAGGAAACUGGUGCUAAUACCGGAUAGUAGCUCCUGCUGCAUGGUGGGGGUUGGAAAGGUUCGGCGGUUGGGGAUGGACUCGCGGCUUAUCAGCUUGUUGGUGGGGUAGUGGCUUACCAAGGCUUUGACGGGUAGCCGGCCUGAGAGGGGGACAGGCCACAUUGGGACUGAGAUAAGGCCCGGACUCCUACGGGAGGGAGGAGUGGGGAAUAUUGCCCAAUGGGCGGAAGCCUGAUGCAGCAACGCCGCGUGGGGGAUGACGGCCUUCGGGUUGUAACCCGCUUUCGCCUGUGACGAAGCGUGAGUGACGGUAAUGGGUAAAGAAGCACCGGCUAACUACGUG